rnacentral:rRNA from 1 species
GACGAACGCUGGCGGCGUGCCUAAUACAUGCAAGUCGAACGCAGUGGGGACGGGUGAGUAACACGUGGGUAACCUCCCAUCAGAGGGGAUAACACUUGGAAACAGGUGCUAAACCGAUACGGAUGGAGGGACCCGCGGUGCAUUAGCUAGUGGGUGAGGUAACGGCUCACCAGGGCCACGAUGCAUAGCCGGCCUGAGAGGGGGAUCUGCCACACUGGGACUGAGACACGGCCCAGACUCCUACGGGAGGCAGCAGUGGGGAAUCUUCGGCAAUGGACGAAAGUCUGACCGAGCAACGCCGCGUGAGUGAAGAAGGUUUUCGGAUCGUAAAACUCUGUUGUUAGAGAAGCGGUAUCUAACCAGAAAGCCACGGCUAACUACGUGCCAGCCGCCGCGGUAAUAC